GGAUUUAUGGUGUAAUGGUUGGUACGCUGGACUUUGAAUCCAGGGAUCCGAGCUCAAAUCUCGAUGAAACCU